rnacentral:rRNA from 1 species
GUCUAUGGCCAUGCCACCCUGAACAUGCCUGAUCCUAUCUGAUCUCGGAAGCUAAGCAGGGUCGGGCCUGGUUAGUACUUGGAUGGGAGACCAUCUAGGAAGAUCAGGUGCUGUAGGCA